GCUAUACUGCAGUCGAGCGGAAGAUGGGAGCUUGCUCCCUGAUGUUAGCGGCGGACGGGUGAGUAACACGUGGGUAACCUGCCUGUAAGACUGGGAUAACUCCGGGAAACCGGGGCUAAUACCGGAUGGUUGUCUGAACCGCAUGGUUCAGACAUAAAAGGUGCUUCGGCUACCACUUACAGAUGGACCCGCGGCGCAUUAGCUAGUUGGUGAGGUAACGGCUCACCAAGGCGACGAUGCGUAGCCGACCUGAGAGGGUGAUCGGCCACACUGGGACUGAGACACGGCCCAGACUCCUACGGGAGGCAGCAGUAGGGAAUCUUCCGCAAUGGACGAAAGUCUGACGGAGCAACGCCGCGUGAGUGAUGAAGGUUUUCGGAUCGUAAAGCUCUGUUGUUAGGGAAGAACAAGUGCCGUUCAAAUAGGGCGGCACCUUGACGGUACCUAACCAGAAAGCCACGGCUAACUACGUGCCAGCAGCCGCGGUAAUACGUAGGUGGCAAGCGUUGUCCGGAAUUAUUGGGCGUAAAGGGCUCGCAGGCGGUUUCUUAAGUCUGAUGUGAAAGCCCCCGGCUCAACCGGGGAGGGUCAUUGGAAACUGGGGAACUUGAGUGCAGAAGAGGAGAGUGGAAUUCCACGUGUAGCGGUGAAAUGCGUAGAGAUGUGGAGGAACACCAGUGGCGAAGGCGACUCUCUGGUCUGUAACUGACGCUGAGGAGCGAAAGCGUGGGGAGCGAACAGGAUUAGAUACCCUGGUAGUCCACGCCGUAAACGAUGAGUGCUAAGUGUUAGGGGGUUUCCGCCCCUUAGUGCUGCAGCUAACGCAUUAAGCACUCCGCCUGGGGAGUACGGUCGCAAGACUGAAACUCAAAGGAAUUGACGGGGGCCCGCACAAGCGGUGGAGCAUGUGGUUUAAUUCGAAGCAACGCGAAGAACCUUACCAGGUCUUGACAUCCUCUGACAAUCCUAGAGAUAGGACGUCCCCUUCGGGGGCAGAGUGACAGGUGGUGCAUGGUUGUCGUCAGCUCCUGUCGUGAAAUGUUGGGUUAAGUCCCACGGCGACCGUUGAUCUUAAUUUGCGCAUUCAGUUGGGCACUCAAAGGUGACUUGCGGUAACCCGAGAGAAGGGG
rnacentral:rRNA from 1 species